ACUGGUGUAGCUCAGUGGUAGAGCGAAGUCUUGAUAAGGCUUGGGUCGUUGGUUCAAUCCCAACCACCAGUA
rnacentral:tRNA from 2 species